UGGGGGAUAUUGCACAAUGGGGGGAACCCUGAUGCAGCGACGCCGCGUGGGUGAAGAAGCGCCUCGGCGCGUAAAGCCCCGUCAGCAGGGAAGAAAAUGACGGUACCUGAAGAAGAAGCCCCGGCUAACUACGUGCC
rnacentral:rRNA from 1 species